GACGGAAGGUGCAAGCGUUGCUCGGAAUCACUGGGCGUAAAGGGUGCGUAGGCGGCCGCGCAAGUCUGGCGUGAAAGCCCCGGGCUCAGCCCGGGAAGGGCGCUCGAAACGGCGCGGCUCGAGUGCCGGAGGGGAGAGUGGAAUUCCUGGUGUAGCGGUGAAAUGCGCAGAUAUCAGGAGGAACACCGGUGGCGAAGGCGGAUCUCUGGGCCUUACCUGACGCUCAGGUGCGAAAGCUAGGGGAGCGAACAGG
rnacentral:rRNA from 1 species